rnacentral:rRNA from 1 species
CGGUUGAUCCUGCCGGACCCUAUUGCUAUCGGGGUAAGACUAAGCCAUGCAAGUUGUGCGCUCCCAAGCUAUUGUGGGAGAGCAGCAAACGGCUCAGUAACACGUAGUCAAUCUACCCUUGGGACGGGUAUAACCCCGGGAAACUGGGGAAAAUACCCGAUAGGUGAAAAACGCCUGGAAUGGGUUUUCACCGUAAGAUAUCAGGAACAUGAUCCUGAUAUCGCCCAAGGAUGAGACUGCGUCCGAUCAGGUUGUUGGUGGGGUAACGGCCCACCAAGCCUAUAACCGGUACGGGCCCUGAGAGGGGGAGCCCGGAGAUGGGAACUGAGACAAGGUCCCAGGCCCUACGGGGCGCAGCAGGCGCGAAAACUCCACAAUGCGCGGAAGCGCGAUGGGGUUACCCCGAGUGCCAUCCUAUGAGGAUGGCUUUUCCCCAGCGUAAGGAGCUGGGGGUAAUAAAGGGGGGGCAAGACUGGUGUCAGCCGCCGCGGUAAUACCAGCCCCCUGAGUGAUAGGGAUGAUUAUUUAGCCUAAAGCGUCCGUAGCCGGCCUAGCGAGUCUCCCGUGAAAUCCAACGACUCAAUCGUUGGGCGCGCGGGAGAUACUGCUAGGCUAGAGGGCGGGAGAGGUUGACGGUAUUCCAGGGGUAGGGGUGAAAUCCUAUAAUCCCUGGAAGACCACCAGUGGCGAAGGCGGUCAACCAGAACGCGCCUGACGGUGAGGGACGAAAGCUGGGGGAGCGAACCGGAUUAGACACCCGGGUAGUCCCAGCCGUAAACGAUGCGGGCUAGGUGUUGGAGCAGCUACGAGCUGCUCCAGUGCCGCAGAGAAGUCGUUAAGCCCGCCGCUUGGGAAGUACGGCCGCAAGGCUGAAACUUAAAGGAAUUGGCGGGGGAGCAC